rnacentral:tRNA from 1 species
GCGGGUGUGGUACAAUGGUUAGUACACGUCCUUGCCAAGGAUGAGAUGACGGUUCGAUUCCGUUCACCCGCU